rnacentral:rRNA from 1 species
GGGGAAUAUUGCGCAAUGGGGGAAACCCUGACGCAGCAACGCCGCGUGAAGGAUGAAGGUUUUCGGAUUGUAAACUUCUUUGACUAGGGACGAUAAUGACGGUACCUAGAAAACAAGCUCCGGCUAACUACGUGCCAGCAGCCGCGGUAAUACGUAGGGAGCGAGCGUUAUCCGGAUUUACUGGGUGUAAAGGGCGAGUAGGCGGACUUACAAGUCAGUUGUGAAAUCUGGGGGCUUAACCCCCAGCCUGCAAUUGAAACUGUAGGCCUUGAGUGAUGGAGAGGCAGGCGGAAUUCCCAGUGUAGCGGUGAAAUGCGUAGAUAUUGGGAGGAACACCAGUGGCGAAGGCGGCCUGCUGGACAUUAACUGACGCUGAGGCGCGAAAGCGUGGGGAGCAAAC